rnacentral:rRNA from 1 species
GAUGAACGCUGGCGGCGUGCCUAAUACAUGCAAGUCGAGCGAACAGACGAGGAUCUUGCUCCUCUGACGUUAGCGGCGGACGGGUGAGUAACACGUGGAUAACCUACCUAUAAGACUGGCAUAACUUCGGGAAACCUGAGCUAAUACCGGAUAAUAUAUUGAACCGCAUGGUUCAAUAGUGAAAGACGGUUUUGCUGUCACUUAUAGAUGGAUCCUCGCCGCAUUAGCUAGUUGGUAAGGUAACGGCUUACCAAGGCAACGAUGCGUAGCCGACCUGAGAGGGUGAUCGGCCACACUGGAACUGAGACACGGUCCAGACUCCUACGGGAGGCAGCAGUAGGGAAUCUUCCGCAAUGGGCGAAAGCCUGACGGAGCAACGCCGCGUGAGUGAUGAAGGUCUUCGGAUCGUAAAACUCUGUUAUUAGGGAAGAACAAAUGUGUAAGUAACUAUGCACGUCUUGACGGUACCUAAUCAGAAAGCCACGGCUAACUACGUG